rnacentral:piRNA from 1 species
UGCCAAACAUGUUGGGCCACUAAAGCU